rnacentral:rRNA from 1 species
UACGGAGGGUGCAAGCGUUAUCCGGAUUCACUGGGUUUAAAGGGUGCGUAGGUGGAUUAGUAAGUCAGUGGUGAAAUCUCUGGGCUUAACUCAGAAACUGCCAUUGAUACUAUUUGUCUUGAAUACUGUGGAGGUCAGCGGAAUAUGUCAUGUAGCGGUGAAAUGCUUAGAUAUGACAUAGAACACCAAUUGCGAAGGCAGCUGGCUACACAAAUAUUGACACUGAGGCACGAAAGCGUGGGGAUCAAACAGG